AUUUGAUUCAGAUCGGGACUCCGCUUUUGACGGCUGCUGGCGGACGUUCGGAGGACAUUCGUCUGAGACAGUUUGCGUGGAAAGUUAAAUCGGAAGUUAAAGUGGAGACGUUAAAUCACGCUACAAAACGGGAUGUUUGUGGUGCAGAGCAGUAAAUGUCGAGAUGAUGUAUCAAGUGUUAUACAGCUCGUGGGACAGGCGUACUACUCUGGCUGUGACAUCAUCAUCCUGGGGAGGGACUUUGAGAGGAUUCAGAUCAUCCCAGGAGCCAAACACGGGAACAUCCAGAUUAUUGCUGAUGUGAGGAAGCAGUGAUGAAUCCGCUGUUUAGUGAUCAUGCUCUCUGCCCUUUAACCUCUCAAAUCUGAAUAUAUACGCCAAUUAAUCUAAUUUUAUAUCGAGUAUGAAGAGAUCUGUAAUAUACUUGAAUGUCAUGUAAUG